UACGGAGGGGCUAGCGUUGUUCGGAAUUACUGGGCGUGAAGCGCACGUAGGCGGCGAUUUAAGUCAGAGGUGAAAGCCCGGGGCUCAACCCCGGAACUGCCUUUGAGACUGGAUUGCUAGAAUCUUGGAGAGGCGAGUGGAAUUCCGAGUGUAGAGGUGAAAUUCGUAGAUAUUCGGAAGAACACCAGUGGCGAAGGCGGCUCGCUGGACAAGUAUUGACGCUGAGGUGCGAAAGCGUGGGGAGCAAACAGGG
rnacentral:rRNA from 1 species